UACGUAGGGUGCAAGCGUUAAUCGGAAUUACUGGGCGUAAAGCGUGCGCAGGCGGUUGUGCAAGACAGAUGUGAAAUCCCCGGGCUUAACCUGGGAAUUGCAUUUGUGACUGCACGGCUAGAGUGUGUCAGAGGGGGGUAGAAUUCCACGUGUAGCAGUGAAAUGCGUAGAUAUGUGGGAGGAAUACCGAUGGCGAAGGCAGCCCCCUGGGAUAACACUGACGCUCA
rnacentral:rRNA from 1 species